AGUGAACGCUGGCGGUAGGCCUAACACAUGCAAGUCGAACGGCAGCACAGUAAGAGCUUGCUCUUACGGGUGGCGAGUGGCGGACGGGUGAGGAAUACAUCGGAAUCUACUUUUUCGUGGGGGAUAACGUAGGGAAACUUACGCUAAUACCGCAUACGACCUACGGGUGAAAGCAGGGGAUCUUCGGACCUUGCGCGAUUGAAUGAGCCGAUGUCGGAUUAGCUAGUUGGCGGGGUAAAGGCCCACCAAGGCGACGAUCCGUAGCUGGUCUGAGAGGAUGAUCAGCCACACUGGAACUGAGACACGGUCCAGACUCCUACGGGAGGCAGCAGUGGGGAAUAUUGGACAAUGGGCGCAACCUGAUCCAGCCAUACCGCGUGGGUGAAGAAGGCCUUCGGGUUGUAAAGCCCUUUUGUUGGGAAAGAAAAGCAGCAGGUUAAUACCCCGCUGUUCUGACGGUACCCAAAGAAUAAGCACCGGCUAACUUCGUG
rnacentral:rRNA from 1 species